rnacentral:lncRNA from 1 species
CGCCCACUAUACAACUGAACAUACGGGCCACCCAUCAUUUGCGGGUCAGUUGGAGACCAAUUAUGAUUAGCAGCAAAAUAAUUAGGGUUUUUCCAAUUGGAAACCCUAUAUCCAACACCUGACGGCCCCCAUGAAGACGACUCACCUUCUAGACGAUGUAUCUGGUCAGAGUGACCAAAACGGAAACGUGUCGGAGUGAACUUGCUCGGGCCACCAUAGUCGCGGUUGAAGCGAUAAAAACACCUUUGAGCGAGAUGGCCAUAGCGGCUACAAAUUUGGCAUUGCACUCGAGAACGAAACCUGCGCCCACUCAAGCCAGAAAAUGAGCGACCAUCACGCCUAGAACGUAGAGCCGACUCAAUCACCGCCACGGCCGGAGAGGCUUCAACCACGUUAGCAUGCAUCGGCGCAUCGUGCAUAGCUUGCAUCUGACGAGUUUGAAACUCGAGCAACACAUCAACCAGUUGCUAAAACGGAAGCAUUUUCGACGAGAAAGACACAAGAUUUAAUAUCGCAUCAAUAUCAGAUGGAAGACCGACAAGGAUUACUUCUACUUUUUCGGCUUCUGAAACAACAAAACCAGAGGCCUCAAGCAAGGCACAACUGUUCUGAAUUUUGGCAAUGAACUCGGUAACAGCCAAUGCACCUUUUUUUAGAGAGUGCAGCUCAUGCUUGAUUCUUGAAAUCUUAGCACUGAUAAAGAUAGUAAAUAACCAAUUUGCAGUAAUCCAGAUAUCACAUGUCGUUUUAGCAGCAGUAAACGAAUACAAUAGAGACACAUUAAUAGUAUAUAGUAGCCAAGAUGUUAAAAUCUUAUCUUGUUGAAGAAAUGCAGCAGCAUCUGGAUUUGGAGUCAGCAAGCCAUCCGGUGAGGCCACGAACUUAGGCGGAGCAGGUAAAGUUCCAUCUAAAAAACCUUGUAGCUCAUAUCCUUCUGUAAUUAAUAUGAUAUGUUGCUACCACUGCACAAAUUUUUUUGCAUCUAACUUCACUGUAUCAUGACGAGGAAACACUUGGAUCAAACGUGAAUUGGAAAACGAUGAUGGAGGAUGAUCAACAGACGUGGAGUUCUGUGAAUUGGCCAUAAACAACAAAGAAAACAGCAGCAGACAUCGACACCUGGAGGAACUAGGCGACUGAUACCAUGUUAAGUGCUAAGUAGAAAACAUAGCAAGACUACAGAGUAAUACUUUCAAUCAAUCUUUCUUACUUCCUUUCUUUGAAUACAUUGGCUAUGUUUGUACACACAUACCAGAGCGACUAUUCUUGAUUAACUGCAUAUCAAACUAAUUACGAGAUUCUAUAACAAACUAACAACUAUAACAGUCUUUAUAUUACUGUUAACAGAGCUCACUGCGUAUGGACUUGGAGGAAAUAAAGGUGCGUAGGGACCUAGAUAUUGAGUUAGAACAUUAAUGUUGGAGAUGCCUAGUGCUAUUUGUGUUUCACUUCAGGUUCUACUCUUGAUUCCACCAAUACUGGUAGCAAUUCUCCUAUCACCAAUUGGUGUAUCUCAAGCUUUGGUUAUUCAAAACAUGCCCGCUCCCUUUGGAUUACUUUUAAUUUGAACCAUUUUUUCACUAAUUUUGGUAUUUGCUUGAUUAAUAUAAAACAUCAACAUUUUCAAAUUUUCAAUCCAUCGGAU